rfam:Culex pipiens quinquefasciatus supercont3.392 genomic scaffold, whole genome shotgun sequence.
CAAUCGGCCCUUUUCAGGGCCACAAAAAGUCUACCUAAAAGAGUUA